GAGUAACACGUGAGUAACCUGCCCUUGACUUUGGGAUAACUUCAGGAAACUGGGGCUAAUACCGGAUAGGAGCUCCUGCUGCAUGGUGGGGGUUGGAAAGUUUCGGCGGUUGGGGAUGGACUCGCGGCUUAUCAGCUUGUUGGUGGGGUAGUGGCUUACCAAGGCUUUGACGGGUAGCCGGCCUGAGAGGGUGACCGGCCACAUUGGGACUGAGAUACGGCCCAG
rnacentral:rRNA from 1 species